rnacentral:ncRNA from 1 species
UGGAAACCUCGGUAAGUAAACCAGACCUGGUGUGUAUCCGUGACAAUCACGCUUGCGUGAUUGAUGCGCAGAUUAUAACGGAUGGACUGUUUCUCGACGAUGUGCACCAUCGCAAAGUUGAGAAAUAUAAAAGACCGGAAGUUAUAUCUGCACUGCGGAGAGAAUUCGGAGUGUCGGGCAACGUCGAAGUCCUAUCCGCGACGUUAAACUGGCGUGGGAUCUGGAGCAAUCAAUCCGUUAGAAGAUUGAUAGCAAAGGGUCUCAUCUCAUCCGGUGACAGCAAUGUCAUUAGCGCCAGAGUGGUAACAGGCGGACUAUAUUGCUUCAGACAGUUCAUGUAUCUCGCAGGUUACACUCGAGAUUGGACUUAGCCUAUACACUAUGUUGGAGAGAAGACGCUUGCUACCUAGGCAAAAUGUGAAAUUAGGUAUAAACAUCGUGGUUGUAAAACUUGAGGUGGGUUUUUAGUACGUAUGCGUGAUUACUUCGUAAUCAUGAAUCGUGCAUGCUAGUGGGGUUUGGCCUCCACUAGUAUCUUUGAAGAUUUUCCUUCCUCAGCGAUCAAAAAAAAAAAAAAAAAAAAAAUAGCCAAAUGCCUCGUCAUCUAAUUAGUGACGCGCAUGAAUGGAUUAACGAGAUUCCUACUGUCCCUAUCUACUAUCUAGCGAAACCACAGCCAAGGGAACGGGCUUGGAAUAAUUAGCGGGGAAAGAAGACCCUUUUGAGCUUGACUCUAAUCUGGCAGUGUAAGGAGACAUAAGAGGUGUAGCAUAAGUGGGAGAUAUUAGAUUUCGGUUUGGUAUCGACAAUGAAAUACCACUACUCUUAUUGUUUCCUUACUUACUUGAUUAAAUGGAACGUGUAUCAUUUCCUAGCCAUUAUACGGAUAUAUUUAUUAUAUCUUAUGGUAUUGGGUUUUGAUGCAAGCUUCUUGAUCAAAGUAUCACGAGUUUGUUAUAUAAUCGCAAACAAAUUCUUUAAUGAGAAAAUGCAUUUAUGUAUUUUCAAUUUGAAAAUUUGGUAUAACUCCAAUUACUCAGGUAUGAUCCAAUUCAAGGACAUUGCCAGGUAGGGAGUUUGACUGGGGCGGUACAUCUCUCAAAUAAUAACGGAGGUGUCCCAAGGCCAGCUCAGUGCGGACAGAAACCACACAUAGAGCAAAAGGGCAAAUGCUGACUUGAUCUCGGUGUUCAGUACACACAGGGACAGCAAAAGCUCGGCCUAUCGAUCCUUUUGGUUUAAAGAGUUUUUAACAAGAGGUGUCAGAAAAGUUACCAUAGGGAUAACUGGCUUGUGGCGGCCAAGCGUUCAUAGCGACGUCGCUUUUUGAUCCUUCGAUGUCGGCUCUUCCUAUCAUUGUGAAGCAAAAUUCACCAAGCGUUGGAUUGUUCACCCAUGCAAGGGAACGUGAGCUGGGUUUAGACCGUCGUGAGACAGGUUAGUUUUACCCUACUAAUGACAAAACGUUGUUGCGACAGCAUUCCUGCGUAGUACGAGAGGAACCGCAGGUACGGACCAAUGGCACAAUACUUGUUCGAGCGAACAGUGGUAUGACGCUACGUCCGUUGGAUUAUGCCUGAACGCCUCUAAGGUCGUAUCCGUGCUGGACUGCAAUGAUAAAUAAGGGGCAAUUUGCAUUGUAUGGCUUCUAAACCAUUAAAAGUUUAUAAUUUAUUUUAUAAACGACAAUGGAUGUGAUGCCAAUGUAAUUUGUAACAUAGUAAAUUGGGAGGAUCAUCGAUCACCUGAUGCCGCGCUAGUUGCAUAUAAAAACAUUAUUUAAUACAAUGACAAAGCCUAGAAUCAAUUGUAAACGACUUUUGUAACAGGCAAGGUGUUGUAAGUGGUUGAGCAGCUGCCAUACUGCGAUCCACUGAAGCUUAUCCUUUGCUUGAUGAUUCG